UGCAUGUGAUUAUUCUGUGUUUAAUUGCUAACAUUCGCUUUCAUUGAAGUAAACCGGUUCAUCACUCAGGUACAUUCUUUGUCUCUCCUAUUCAUUCAGUUAUUUUUGUUUUGAGUGAUAUUCAUUUGGUAUCCAUGCUUGAAAUUAUUUCUUAAUUGUGCAUUAACCUCACUUUUUGAUAAGCUUAUUGUGGCUCGUCGCCCAGGUACAUAUCUAUUCCCAUUCUGGUAUUUCUAUAUGCAUGCUUUGAUUCUCAUAUGUGCAUGAUAGUUCCGGGUAUUCAUUGAUUUCUUCAUCAAUUGUCAUGUCAGCUUCAUUUUAUUAGUAGAGACCCGACUUUAGGGACUUAGAGGGG
rnacentral:lncRNA from 1 species